rnacentral:piRNA from 1 species
UACAGAGACCCUGUCUCGAAAGG